GACGAACGCUGGCGGCGUGCCUAAUACAUGCAAGUUGAGCGCUGAAGGUUGGUACUUGUACCAACUGGAUGAGCAGCGAACGGGUGAGUAACGCGUGGGGAAUCUGCCUUUUAGCGGGGGACAACAUUUGGAAACGAAUGCUAAUACCGCAUAAAAACUUUAAACACAAGUUUUAAGUUUGAAAGAUGCAAUUGCAUCACUCAAAGAUGAUCCCGCGUUGUAUUAGCUAGUUGGUGAGGUAAAGGCUCACCAAGGCGAUGAUACAUAGCCGACCUGAGAGGGUGAUCGGCCAAAUUGGGAAUGAGACACGGCCCAAAAUCCUACGGGAGGCAGCAGUAGGGAAUCUUCGGCAAUGGACGAAAGUCUGACCGAGCAACGCCGCGUGAGUGAAGAAGGUUUUCGGAUCGUAAAACUCUGUUGGUAGAGAAGAACGUUGGUGAGAGUGGAAAGCUCAUCAAGUGACGGUAACUAACCAGAAAGGGACGGCUAACUACGUG
rnacentral:rRNA from 1 species